AUGAAGAGGGUACAGACAGUACUCGACAUGAAUCGCGUUUAAUUUUGGAGGCGGACGCUUUCUUUGGGUGAGGCAAGAGUCCGAACAAGAACAACCGGAAAGUGAUAUAUCCGG
ensembl:ncRNA Y45G5AM.10 ncRNA